CAAUCUUUCUGGCCUUUGACUGUGAAUUUAAUGCAUAUUUAGUUCUCAAACCUUUUUUAAUACUGAAAGUUCUUCACUUUCCUGCUAUGGUUAUUGGAUUGGGUAAGUUUUUUAAAUUAUGAUAUAAACAAACUGUUUCAAAGAACUGGGUUUCGAUUAAAAGACUGGGUUGUCUUUUAUAAGUUCGACGAACUCCCUUCAAGGAAACUGGGUCUUAAGAGACUUGGGCUCUGAUUGUUACGGAUUCUGAUCUGAAAUGUUAUCUUUGCUAAUGGUGGUGAUCUUUGCAGAAUGGGCACAAUUCGUUGGAGAUUUCAAGUUUAUUUGUUAGGUUGAAAUGAAUUCUGGUUGAAAUUUGGUGGAACUUGGUGGAUCGUGGUGGCAGGCUUAGUCAGUUGGAAACAUUUUUUGUGGUUUUCUUGAUAAUCCAGAUUUAAGUUCCUAAGUCAGCCGCACACCUUUUUUCUAUGGUUGAUUUUUUCUUGUUGUGUGGAUUCGUAGUUAACUCCGCAAGAGACAGUAAUGGAGAAAUUGGAGUUUCCUAGAAGAGGUGAUUCGAAUGCUACGGAGAACUUAAGAGAAUAAUUUCCUAUUCAUCAUCCGACUUAUACAAAUCAUUGUAUCACUGUUACUGGUUCAACUCCAUAUCUGGGUGAGCACCGUUUGUUUUCAAUUUUGUUAGAACGUUAGAACCCAUGAUUACUCGUCAUGAGUGAUGUUAAGGAAAUCUGUGUCAUUCGUUUCACGUUGGAUCAUUAUUAGGGUGUCAUCUAGGUUUUUGGGAUUACUUCGAUCCUUGUUUUGAGGACAUUUGUUUGAUAGGCGAAAAUAUGGAAACAUGGGUGGCAUGCUAGCUCAUGCAGCAAUGGAUGCGUUACAAGUUGUUUCGUCAGCAACACAAUUAGUGUCGAGUAUGGUGGGGGCUGUUGCUGCGUUGGAGCAAGCCUCUAGGGAUCUUGAAGAAGCUCCGAAGAAAAUCAAAAGACUAGAGGAGUUUGUGUAUGAUCUCGAGAAUUUGACUCGCAGAAUCAAGCAAAAGCAUGUCUCCAAGCUUCAUGACCCUCGAUUAGAUAAGCAAAUUCAAAGCUUAAAUGCCCUGGUGGAAAGGCUUCAUCCAAACAUCAUGAAGGCAAGAAGGAUUGUGUCAAGAAGCAAGUUCAAGAACUUGGCUAAGAUAGUGUGGAAUUCUAUGGCUGGGGACCCACUCGGGAAAGUAGUACAUACAAUCAAGGGUGACUUAAACUGGUGGCUUGACUCUCAAAUAUUGGUGCAAAAUGUUGAGAAGGUGAUAGAAUCCACUGCACAAGACAUCCCAGUUCGGUUAAAGAUAAAUAAUGAACAAGGUUACCCGAUAUCUAGUAAGUGUAACUUCAUAAGCAAUUUACUAGAGCAGGAGGGUUCUCAUCGGGUCAUUCUUAUUGUUGGGUUAUCUGGUAUUGGGAAGUCAUGUAUGGCUCGUCAAGUGAUUUGUGAUCCGCCAGCUAAAUUUGUGGGUGGUGCAGUUGAGCUUUGCUUUGGGCAAUGGUGCAGCAGAGCUGCCUGUAAUGGAAACAAGGCCGAAUAUCAGAGCCGAUUAGCUCGAAAAUUUUGUAAAUUUCUUGUGCAGAUUGGAUUUUGGAAGAAGAUUAAGGAUAACGCUAGAGAUCUUGAAUACAUAUGUUGCUUGCUUCAAGAAGCCUUGUACAGGAAGAGCAUUUUGAUCCUUCUUGAUGACGUGUGGGAGCAGGACAUAAUUGAACGAUUUACAAAACUGUAUGAUAAUGAUUGCAAAUACUUAGUGACAACGAGAAAUGAAGCUGUCUAUGAAAUUACAGAAGCUGAGAAAGUUGAGUUAGGCAAAGAUGACAUGAGGGAAAUAAGCAAGGAAAUCCUUGUGUACCAUAGCCUCCUUAGCGAGGAAGAGUUGCCGAUUAUCUCAGAAAGCUUGCUUGAGAGUUGUGGCCACCACCCUCUUACAGUUGCUGUCAUGGGUAAGGCUCUCAGGAAAGAAACAAGAUCUGAAAAAUGGGAGAAAGCCAUCACCAAUUUAUCCACCUUUGCCACAUGUGCACCUGGUCCUGUCUCUUACGUAAAUGAGAAAGAAGCUGAAAACACGCUAACCAUUUUUGGGUCAUUUGAGUUCAGUCUAGAAGCAAUGCCUGGAGACUCUAGGAAGCUCUUCACAGCUCUUGCUGCUCUUUCAUGGGUUGAACAUGUACCUGAAGCUGGUUUGGAGGCUAUUUGGUCAGUUCUUGGGCAGGAGAGCCUAUUCCCUCUCAUAGUCGGCAAGCUUGUUGAGGGCUCCUUGCUGAUGAGAACUGAUACAGAUCCCUUAUAUCAAGUACAUGAUAUGGUUUCGCUGUACCUUGAUAGCAAGAAAAAUGAUGCAGUUGCGCUUUUAGUAGAUGAAGCUAGAGUUGAAGAAACAGCAUUUAUUUGCCCUUGGCUUUUUGUUUUUGGGAAAGAAAGCAUCAAAAGAAUUGUUGGACAAAAGAUAGAGAUAUUCCUCAGUGUUUUGGAAGAAAAGCAAGCAGUUAUCACCUUAGAAGCAAUUGUCCAGGCUCUAAUGGCUAGCAAAUCCAUAUCUGAAUAUGAAGUUAGCAGAGCAAGCUUUGUUUGCAUGUUGGGACCUAGAAUUGAAGGCCUUAUAUCAUCUGGUUUACAGGGUCUGGUUGUAGUGUCUACAGAAGCCAUCACAAAUAUAUUCAAUAGAAAUGACUAUUACAAUUACAUUCCAUCACUUGAAAGUACUGGUGCAAUUGAUAAACUGGCAGUUAUACUAGAAAACUGUGAGGACCCCAUGGUCCAAACAAACAUUUCAGCAUUCCUUGCAAAGCUCGCAGAAUUUGGAAGCACAGAUACAGUCGAUAAGGUGCUUCAGGGUAUCCCCUUCAACCAACUGGCUGAUUUGCUCUCUCCUGAAGCUGAGGAAUGGCAUGAGAGCAUGUUUACAAUAUUGAUGUCAUUGGCCAAAGCAGGAAAGUCAAAAGCUGUUGAGAGAAUGAUUGCUUCUGAAAUCGAGAAAAAUCUAAUUAAACUUCUUGAGAAUGGAACUGAAGUGGCACAACAUGGUGCCAUUGUCAUAUUGAAAGCAUUUUAUGAGUUAGGGGGCCAUCCUACAAAUGGGCGUCUUCAACAUGCUAAUCUAAAACUUUUGCCCUGGCAAGUGAGGCUUCGUUUGGAAAGAUUUGUGUUGUCAGACCAGAAUGUUUCCUCUUCACCAAGGCCGCAAACUUUUGAAGAUCUGCUCCACAAGUUACUUGAUAGCAAUUACAAGCAGGUAUUGGAAGCAAUGCAAAACCUCAUACCAAUUAUUGAGAAAGCAGGGGACCCAAAAAUCACAGACAUGAUUUUAAAAAGCCCCCUCAUCAAAAGACUCUUUGAACUUUUACAAACACAACAGAAGUCAAUGAAAUCCGAGUCUGCCUUUCUAUUAACGAAGCUAGCUUUCUCUGGUGGAGAAUCCUGCAUUAAGAAAUAUCUGGAGUAUGAUAUUAUUCCCGAGCUAGUCAAGAUGAUGCAGUGCACCAUUCCAGAGUUGCAGGAUGCAGCCUAUACAGCACUACACCAGAUGCUGUUUGGAACUGGCGGGUUCCUGGUUUUGAAGCAUAUAUUUCAGUUGGGUCUCAUAGAGAAGUUGGUUCACUCAAUUGACAGCAAAUCAGCGAAAGCAAGGGAAGUGAAUGUCCACUGUCUUCUGGAUGUUGUCGAGUUGGGAAACAAACAUUUCUUGGAGCUGAUGUUUUCUUUGCAAGUGGUGGAGAAGCUUACAAAGUUAGAAAGUGUCAGUGGGGGCUCAGGGGAAACUGUGGUUGGAUUUCUCAAGGGAAUGGAUAAAUGUAAACUUCUUUCUACUGCUGAGCGCAAGGUUAUGAAGCAACAGGUGGUUAGGAAGGUAAGGGCUACCUUGAAGGGGCCAUAAAUUUGAAGUGCGGAUUUUGGCAGCUGUAGAUGCCUGUGUAUCUGAAGGAUCAAUGAGGGGAGCCACUAGUAGUGGUAGAAACAGAAAGUCGUAGCUUGGGCUCUCAGUAUACUGCUAGUUAAGGCCCACGACGUUAGUUCUUUCUAUUAUUUGAUCAAUCAUCACAAAUAGAGUUGAUGAUGAGGAUGAAGAAGACAGUUUUAAAUUGGGGUUUGAAUCGGUGGUUUAGACUUGUCUCGUCUUGAUAAUGUGGCUUUACAGAUUUCAAGCCACGCCCCCAUUAUGAGCAAUAAAUUAAAUUGUUUACUUCCAUUAGUAAACAAUUGGAGGAUGGAGUUGCCACGUUUGAAGGAAUAGUUUAUUAAUUAAAAUAAUUGUAUUGAAAUCUCUCUACAAGUUAGAAA